rnacentral:tRNA from 1 species
AGCGGAGAAACGCCCUGCAAAUCGACCUGUUAGCACCAGCUCGACAAGCUGGGGGUCACUGGUUCGAGCCCAGUACCGCCCA